UACGUAGGGGGCAAGCGUUGUCCGGAUUUAUUGGGCGUAAAGAGCGUGUAGGCGGCCAGACAAGUCUGCUGUGAAAACUCGAGGCUCAACCUCGAGCUGUCGGUGGAAACUGUCUGGCUAGAGUCCGGAAGAGGAGAGUGGAAUUUACGGUGUAGCGGUGAAAUGCGUAGAUAUCGUAAGGAAGACCAGUGGCGAAGGCGGGUCUCUGGACAGUUCCUGACGCUGAGGCACGAAGGUCAGGGGAGCAAACGGG
rnacentral:rRNA from 1 species